rnacentral:lncRNA from 1 species
CUCACUCAUGCCCUCUCCCUCUAGUGUGGGAAAACAAGAGGAACCUCCAAAAUUUCCUAGCUGCACAAAGAAAUUGGUGGAAAUUCACUUCAUUUUGAAGCUCGGGGUUUCUAUGUGGUUGAUUUAAUCAAAAUAUUAAUGUGAUUUUUCUAGAAGAAGAAAAAGGGAAAAUAUAAAAAUCAUGCUGAUUGGAUUUGAAUAGAUUGUAUUGAUCAUAUAUGAAUAUUAUCUUUCAUCCAGAUUGGAAAGUACUGUUUUGAAAUCCAGUCCUUCACACUUCCAAACUGAUCAUUUUUAAUAAGUAAAUGUCAUUUUGGCUUUUUUUUUUUUUUUCUGGUCAGGAAGAAAAACAAGAAGUUUCCUUCCGCAAACUUCCUAAAAGGUGCCAUGUGUUUUCCUAAAACCAAGGAAAAUUCUAAAAUAGAACUACCAUAUGAUUCAGCAAUCCCACUUCUCUAAAUCUCCAGAAUCUCCAGGGAUUGGAACCAAGUGCUUUAUCUUUACCAUAUACCAAUCCAUGAAUCAACUCCAAAACAGAUCUCUAGAAACAGACAAGACUGACUACUGCCUGAAGGUUUCUGACACCAAGUUCCUGAGGUACAUGGAACAGAGGCUGUUAGGAAAUUUGCCUUGCAACUAAAAUUUAAGCAAAGAAACAACUUGUCAUCUACCUGUUUACCUCUAACAGAAGCUUAUACACAUAUGCAUGGGCUUGGAGAAAAUGAUAUUCACUUAAAAACAAUAUAAUAAUGACAUGUACAGAGCCAUAUAGCUCCAAAACCUUUCAAGUGCUACGUCCAUUUGUGAGGACAUAUUUAUCAGUCUAGUACUACCUUGUAACAGUACAAAAGUACAUUCACAUUAUUUUUUCUAAAGGAGCUUAGUUCCUAGAGGGAAAAAUACACUCUUCUCAAAGUUUUAUAAUAAUAAUUAACAUACCCUACAUGAUGUUUGUGAGACUCAAAUAAGGAAAACAAUGG